CUCGGGUCGGCGCGUCGGUGGUUGUGGGAUAAAGGAGGGACGUCCCCGAAAUCUGCGGUCUCUGCAGCCGCAGCUGGACACAGAAAUCAUUUAGAAACCCGGAUAUGGAGAUGAGACUUGGAAAAAGGGACCCUUUUCAUUUUGAGAAAGAAAAAUUGGACCUGCAGCAGGACCUGCUGUCUCCUUUCUGAUGAAGCUACCCUGACUACAUGAUAAAACCACCUGGGGAGCUUUUCAAAGAUCCCAGAUGCUCAGGACACAUCCAGGGCCAAUUAACUCUGAAUCCUGUGAGGUGUGCAUCAGGCGUGUGAAAGAAUUCCUAUGGAAGGGGAAGGCUGAUUACAUACCAAAGAUUGGGGAGCAGUGGUGAAGGCUACACUUCACACCCAAGGAGGAAAGUAGCUUGGGCCAACUCAAUUCUGUCUUUCAUUAUCUGAAAGUUCACAAGAAGUCGGUUCUCUUUUGCUUUCCGAGGCCAACUGCUGUUUUGCAAGAUAUAAGAAACUUCCCAUCAUCAAGUGUUCGUGGCUAGAGCAUAUGCCCGAAACAGGCUGAAGGAAUCCAGAGGUGGUUGGCUUGGACCGGGGAAGGGCUGAUUUGGCCGGAAGUCAGAGGCUUCUCUCGGAGGUCCCAGGAGGAGCCCAGGAGGCGCUUUCUGGACACGGGACACAGCGAUGCAAAGGCGCUGAGACGGAGUGGAGUUCGGCAGGUGUGCAAGAUCCAGAAAGGAGGCCAGUGAUCACGUUGGAUGAGGAGGAGAACGGGGAGAAACGAAGAGGCCACUGAAGAUACGUUUCUAAAUAUUUUACAUGGAUUUAGCCCAUUAGUUCUUCCAACUCCAUGAGAUUAAUUGCACACACACACAUACCCUUACUUUACUAUCUCUUGUCUGCUACGGAAGAUACAUUCACCAUUUUUAUUCUCUCAGGAGUUUAUGUCAUUCUUCAUUCUGGAAGAUCCUUAAGUUAUUUUGCUAAAGAAAAAAAUAAAGACUAUUAGAAGCAGAGAUCGAGUGCUGCAUAAAACAGCUACACAGCCAAGCCAAAAGUUGGGUCCAGCAGAGUCCGAGCAAAAUGUUCAGAACGCCUAGACCACCGUACUGAUGGAAGUAGAAGUAUAAAAGCAGGCUCUGCACCAAGAGCCGGGGACAUACACUGGGCUGGAACUGACCGUCUCUGCCUUCCACACGCUUACAUCCCAGGGGAGGUGACAGAGGCCAGAUGAAGAAUCCCCCAAUGCAUCACGUAGCUGCAGCUGCGGUCCAGCUGAUGAAGGAGGAGUAUGUGGUGAGAUGGCAAAGGAGCCUGAGCUAAUCUGAAAGCCUGAGAGAGCUUUCUGCGGGUGCUGACGGAUGAUCCUCUCCAGCUCGUCUGGAAGUCUGUUAGUGAUAAUGCAAUUGGCAAUACACAUGCCUGUAAACACCGAAAGAGUCUAAGGCCUUCAUUCCCCCUCCUGGACUGGUGGGUUGGUGGGUGUCCCAUGGGAUGUCCCACGUCCCAGGUUGUACAACUUGAGAUUGUACCCAUCUUAUUCUGCUCUUUCUGAGCCAGGACCUACUUGUUCUCAGAGAAAUCGUGCACCUGUGUGUACCGCUGUCCUUCAGCAGGACUCCUGGGCCUGUGGGUUCUCUUGUUCAUCAUUUAUUUUUAAAUGUUCCACUGUUUUAUUACUGGAGAGAAGACAUUCUUUUAGGUUAUCUGUAAUCCCCUCUCGUUGUACACUAUCUUUUCCUAAGGCAUAAUUCAGUUAUUCAUGUUAAUAUAAUAUUCCCUGGUAAUGCCUUUGAUCCCAAAUCUUAUUUUUUUAAUCAAAGUUCAUAACCAGAGAAAACAGAGAAACAGGUCCGCCUGUCCGUCAUCAUUCAUUCGCUCAUUCAGUCCAUACCGAGCCUGCUACGACGUGCCCCACGCUCUUCAGACGGUGAAGACGAAGGGAGCCUCCUGCUUCCACGUCUGCUCCAGGGAGAGGAGGCAGACGGUCCAGCAUCAAACGGGACACUCUUAGUGUGAGAAGUGCAGAGAUGAGAGAGCGAAGUCACUGUAGACGGGAUGGUCAGGGGAGAUCUGUCCACGGAGGUGACACUGACUGAGAGAUGACACAAAUAGUCCUGGGACAAACCAGGGAAAGAAGCUGCCAGGUCCCCACGUGCGCCCAGGGCUCUGGCCCCGGCAAGUGUCUUGGCGAUGCAGAAAUAAGGGUAGCACCCUUGUGGGAGGCGAGCCCUGCGGUGUGGCGGGGACAAAGAGGACGGAGUCUCUUUGGUUUCUUUUGGUAGAAGCUGUGUCUGAUAGACAAGCUAAUAGCCCGUUGAAGAUGGUGAGUGGGUGGCGACUGCUGGUUAGAACUUUAUCCUGCCCACUCCCCGCCAGCGGGGCCGUGCCACUCAUUCGUUUGUUUAGGGGACACGGUGUAUGCAAGUCUCCGAUUGCACGGAGACGCGACAAAAUUCGCCUUGUAUUGAGUGAGUGAUCUCUCAGACUUUCGGCAAACAGUUCGACAACUACCCACAGUUUUCAGCGUGGUCUUUUUCUGUGCCUUUAACAGAGAAUAUAGCAGGACUUGCUAUCAUAAAAAAGAAUGAACCACAAAGUCUCAGAUUAUGUCACUCUUUUAUUUCCCAGCUUUCCCAGCAGGUAUCUUUGCAUAUCCGACUGCAUCUCGGCAAGAGCUUGAACAAGCAGUUCUGUAGUAGCACAUCUUUCCCCAAUUUGUUUUGGAGGCAGCCAAGCAAACCCCCCUCUCUGCCGUCUAGGGCCCUGCAAAAACGCCAGGCCUGUGUGUUUACAUGACAGGUCUUCACCACUGCAUACCUGCAGCACCAGCGAGUGUAAGGCACCUCCUUUCCUUCAGGAGAAUGUGACUUGGUGACAAACAGGGCGGUUCCCCGCCGCCUGCCUGUCUCUCCUGCGCACACAAAGGCUCCUUGG